UGCCUUUUCUCAAUUCUCGUCGUCCCUGCCGCUCCGCCAAAGGGCCGCGACCUUCCAUCCUCUGUUCUGUGACAGCGUGCCUGGCCUUCCUCCACCGUUCUCAAAUCGGGGAACAUGCUUGUCAACUGCUUCAUAAGCCGCCUCGUGCCGCUAGUCUGAGGAACAACGGCGUGAAGAAAUUGGUGUUCAUGUCUAGAGGUGAUGCACCUCUACCAGUCUUUUGCUUUGGGGAAUUUCUUAUCCUGGGCUCGAUUUGUCAUUGUUUGGGAAUCUCCCCUCAUUUUAGAAGGGCUCCACAUCAUUGCUAUUAACUAGUUCGCAUAUCAAGUUUCCUGCUUAAUCUUUAUAUGCACUUAAUUCAUCUGAUACGCGAUUCUUCUCCCAGCCGAGGAAAGUUUCAGUUUUCGAACUUCUAUCUGAUGAAUUUUCGGUUUUAAAGAUGUUUAAACGAUGUCAAUAUCGCAGAUUAAAAACGAUGUGAAAAGUUAUGUGACUGAUUUUCACUUGAGUACAUAUACACGUUGAGUAAAUCCUUCCAAUCCCUGUUUAUUUUAAUGGUAUUAAACAUUAUCUGUUUGACAGAUUACAAUCGGUGCAUGGCAAUAAAUAUAGAAGAUAAGAUACGAUGCCCGCUGUCUUAAACAAAGAGCAUGUGGGACUUAUUCGAUCCUAGAAGUAUGUAGGAUCUAUUCAGUUUUUAGCUUCACACAUGGAGUAAUCUGUCUUAUGUUUUACACACCUUAAUACCUUUAUCUUGCAGAUGGGCUAAUCCUCGCCAUUGACUGGGGAGGAACGAUACUUAUGGUAUCUGUGGUAAUAUCAUCUGGGAAGUCCACGGAUGAUUCAGCUACUAGACAGUCCUUCAAUUGGAUGACCACAGUGCUUAUAGUUGGUCUCUUGUCAGAGUGUGGUGAUGUGCAUGACAUUGCAAUCUCUAUUACCUUCCAUAUAGAAUUAACAUCGUAGUAGCCCCUCAUUCUUUGGUCCGCAAUAUCGGCUAUAUCUCCUCUUUCUAUUCUGGACUGCACUUGCUGGGUUAU
rnacentral:lncRNA from 1 species